CAGAGACUGAUAGCAUUUCCAGCAACCGAGUCUCAGAAGGCCCACAGAGCAAAUAAAGAACAUUUUAAUGGGACCGUCAGGAGGAUAUGACCUGUCAAAGCAGAUUUGCAAGCAGGAAAGGGGGCAGGGCCCAUUCUUGUCUAGACAUCUGAUUAGUGGGAAAUUGUAGGAUUAUGAGGAGUGUGGAUUUUUCUGGCUGCUAUUUCUGAGGAGGUCAGGCUUUCUGCGCAAAGGGCUGGAUGAGAGAAACAUUUGUCUGUGGGAGAAAAUGCUGACUGGUCCUCACCCUCCCUUGGGCUCCAGCCGCCAAUUCGGGACAAAGAGACUGCCCCCAGCCUGCCUCCCACCACGAUGCUAGCAGACGCCCUGUUCUCCUGGCCUCCUGCGCUCCCUGCGCUUCAGUAACAGCCCACCUCGUGUCCCCCCACCAGCCCGGGAGACCACAGGCACCACGCGCUGCGGGCUGGGAGAUGAUAAACAAGAGAAACCCAUCCGCCCACGUGCAGGUGCGAUUUGAAAACUCAAUGGAGGAGNNNNNNNNNNNNNNNNNNNNNNNNNGGCGAGGCUGUUCUUCCUUGUGAGGUGAGCGACCAGAAUGUGUGAUAGAGAUGGAAAUGGCCAAAGGCAAGGGGGAAGCUCCCGAUUUUCUGGGCUGUCACCGUGCCAAAGCAGGCUGAGAGCCGGUGCCUAACUCAUUCUGCAGGUCCAUUCGGGCACAACUUCGCAGGGGGUGCCCGGGGUGUGUUCCAGCAAGGCAG
rnacentral:lncRNA from 1 species